rnacentral:rRNA from 1 species
GAUGAACGCUGGCGGCGUGCCUAAUACGUGCAAGUCGAACGAACAGACGAGGAGCUUGCGCCUUUGACGAUAGGGGCGGGCGGGUGUGACACAUGUGGAUAACCUACCUAUCAGACUGGGAUAACUUCGGGACACCGGCGCUUAUAGCGGAGGAGAUCUUGCAGCGCAGGGGUCAAUGGUGAAAGACGGUUUUGGUGUCUCUUAUAGCUGGUUACGAGCUGCAUUAGGUAGUUGGUACGGUAACGGCUUACUAAGGCAAGGAUGCGUAGCCGAGCUGAGGGGGGGGUCGGCCACACUGGAACGGGGACACGGUCCAUGCUCCUGCGGGAGGCAGCAGUAGGGAAUCGGCCGCAGUGGGCGAAAGCCUGACGGAGCAACGGCGCGUGAGUGAUGAAGGUCUUCGGAGCGGGAAGCUCUCUUAUUAGGGAAGAACAGAUGUGGAAGUAGCUAUGCACGGCUUGACGGUACCGAGUCAGAAAGCCACGGCUAACUACGUG